GCCUCCAGCUGGUUCUCCAGUUUACUGAUGAGAGGUUCACAGCGGCAGCCGUUCAGAGGAGCCUGCAACACACCGCAAAUAUCAACAAAACAGCACUCACAACAAACAUGUCCAACAAACUCCAAAAUCCCAGGAUCCUGUAGGAAUCAUGACUCCAUUUUUCCAGUGACCAACUGAUUGGUCAGUAGUCAGGUUGUUGGCAGGUUUUGAUCCGAUCCUCUAAAGUUAACCUGCUCUGGAGCCAGCAAAUGAGCCAGCUUUGUGAUACCCGAAAACCUGAAUUAAACCCAAAGAUAGCUGCUAACCCACUAAUCUUGCUUUGAGAUGUACGGCCCCAGGUCUUUUUUAGUGUCACUUCAUUCAAAUCAACUUGUUUACAUCUUCAGUGAAAAUACACCACAAACUUGUGAUAUGUGGUGAUGCAAAAUGUUGUGGUCCUGGUGGUAAUUUGCAGUAGGCCUAGUAAACAUUCACCUAAAUCUGUCCAGUGCAGCUGUCAGAGGCUGCAGAUGCGGCGGCCAGUAGCUCCUUCAAAUGUCGCUACAUUUUUAAUUUGUUAUUUUUAUUACUGAAGCACGUACUGAGCAAAUACCUAUGACAGAAACACACUCACCGGUAUUGGAAAAAGAAAACGCGGGGAUUGGAUUAAGUGCAGCAGACCCUGGGACGAUCAUUGCUCAAGGUAUCUUGAGCACCCAACUAGACCAGCUGGACCAAGCAUCGCCAGGAAGAGAAGGAAGAGUGCUGGGAUAAGAGCUAAGCUAACCCAGUUUGGACCUAAGGCUGCUCCACUAACCAGCCUACUCCUGGCUAAUGUCCGGUCGCAUGAAAAUGGAAUGGACGAAAUGGGACUCAGGCUAACCCAGCAACAGGAAAUCAGAGACUGUUGUGCCCACAUCUUAUGGAGACCUGGCUCCAUCCCAAGAUCCUGGAUCAAGCUAUUGCUUUGUGCUCAAACAUAGUCAAAGGGCAACUAGGGCUACCGCUAUCGAUUAUUUUAGUAAUCAAGUAUUCUACUGAUUAUUCUAUCGAUUAAUCAGGCCACUGAGCAAAUAUUGAUUUCACAGUUCAUGAGUUAUUAGCCAAAACAUAAAACACGUAAUAACUGACCACAUGGUGGCGCUAUAGAUACCCUGAUUUAAUAUGUAAAGCAUUUCCACAUGGGGCAGCUGUCCAUAAAAUAUGAAUGCUUUAGCACUUGUAUUUUUUAAGAUUUCAGCUUUCAAACAUUGCUCCCAUAGAUUUCCCAUUAUAAAUUUAAUACUUAAAAAAUUAUAUAAAAUCACGAAUCACAAAAAUAAAGAAAAGUAAUAGCAUACAUCUCGUGAAAAAUAUGUACAAUUUGACAAUGAAACAAAGUUUUUAGCACUAGCGGUACAGGAGUAGACAGAGGACAAAAAAUGGCUGAAUGAUAAUAAUGAACAAAAAAAGAUGUUUUUUAAAAUGCACAUCAACGUAAAUAUUGAACAGUAAUAUUAAAGACUCACAUUGAAUGAUGAGCUUGAGAACACACAAAAUGCAUAACACACAAAAUUUUGUGUGAGAGCUGGAAUAUGCAAAAGAGAAAAUAAGACAGAUCUCUCAAAAUACACAAGUAAGUGGUUUACUGUUUAGAAAAAAUCUUUUUUUUUUGCUUAAAUUGCAUACAAUAAUAUUAUCUGUCAAAACUAAACCCAUGUAGUGCAUUUAAGUGCCAUAUUACAUUCUGGGUUUUUGCUUUAAAAAAGGUAUAUAGUUUCAACCUAACUACAGCUCAGGCAUAAUGUAAGCCUUUACUGUCUUCUUUGUGGCAUUUGUAACAGGCAAACACAAGUGGACAGUAACUGUGACUAUCAUAAUAAUAAAUAACAUAAAUGAAGCUCAGGCUUUCACAAAUUGACUACAGCAUUUUAUUUUCUGUGGUUAAUAUCUUGAAAAAAACCUAGCUAAUUUAGGAACAUCAUAACUAGUCACCAUAUUGAUUUAUGUUGUUAACUAGCCAUUACAUAUAGCCAUAAUUAACGUAACCUACAUUCUUUACUAGCCUUCAUAUACCUUGUGUCGGGUCCACUCUGUGGACUGGAUGCAUAGACUGUAACGUUAUGCUUUCUGCUGAGAUCCUGAAACAUAGACGUCGUGCUAUUGUGGUAGGCUAGUUCAGUUUUACAAUAGACACACUAUACAGAGUUUUAGUGGACACAUUCUGUCACUUUCUCUGGCCUGUCUCUUCUCUGCGCCCCUCACAAUUUUCUCUCUCUUCCUCCGCUUUGUAAUGCGCACUAUCAAAUCACACCAAAGAUGCUCUGAAUCGUCUCUGAUCACACAGAGCGUAAGUGCGUUGUGCGACAGUAAUAAUCAUUUGUGUGAAACACAGUGCGCUGUAUAUAGUUAGAUGGAUUAAACAAAGCUUCGAUACAAAUAUUUUGAAUCGAUGAUUUUUAGUAAUCGAGUUACUCAAGGAAUCAUUUCAGCCCUAUUAUCAAACUAUCUUGUUGAUACAUUCCCCCAGACACAAAUUAAAAAAAUGCACUACAGCCUUAUUACUUUCUUGGUGUAUACGUGUAUAGGUAUAUAUGUAUGUAAAUAACUGUUGUUUUAUUUAUUUUAUUCUAUUCUAAAUUUAAAUAUCUGUAUAUAUGUUCUGUGUGUGUAGUAUGAAGGGGCUAUAACUUAGAUUUCAUUGUGCAACCCUGUGUUGUAAAAUGACAAAUAAAUUACCUUGAUUCAUCCAUGUA